GGGGGCGUACUGGUUUCGACAGGGGCAGUUGUGGCAAGAUAAGCGAGCCGGUGUUCCAUCAGACCGUAAAACGGUGGGCCUUUAUAAACGCAGAAGAUAAUUUUGCAUUAGCGGCUUAAGCCGUUAACGUUUCGCCGGGUUGCGCCCACUAACCCGGAUGAGGCGUCAUUUCGUGGGCUACCGUGUGGCUUUUCGCCCGGAGGAGCCUUGCGGGAAAUUAAUCUGGGCUGGUGAAUAAAGAGCCCGCCGCCUGGCGCUUUAUGAACGACGCUCAAACAAGCGGCUGCGCCCGGAGAAAGUCUUGCGUCAAUGCUUUUGGACAGGGGUUCGACUCCCCUCGCCUCCACCA
rnacentral:tmRNA from 1 species